GGUGGCUCAAUGGUAGAGUGCUUGCCUUGCAUGCAUGAGGCUCUGGGUUCAAUUCCUCAGCACCA
rfam:Dipodomys ordii contig_13470, whole genome shotgun sequence.